AAUGAAGUGCCUGAAAAAAGGAUUACUGUGAUAGAGUAAAUAAUGUAAUUAAAUUACCUUCAUUG
rnacentral:tRNA from 1 species